UGACAGAGGAUAGCUCAGUUGGUAGAACAUGAAACUCUUAAUCUCAGGCUUAUAGGUUCGAGCCCCACAUUGGGGAAAA